UUCUGAGCCCAAAAUCACUUUUGAGCUCAGUAGAGCAUUUGGAAAUGGCAGAUGAAAAAUCUGAUUCUACUUCUCAGAAUCAAAAAUAUGAUUUUGAAGGCUACAGAAUCAGAAGCAGAAAAAAGUUGCUUCUCCAAAACUUGAUUCUGAUUUUGGACUCAUACAUUAAAAUUUUAUUCUUAUUUUAGAUUCAAAGUAUAAAUUUAACAUUAAGUUUAAAUUUUGAAAUUUUAAAUUCAUAUUUAAACUUUUAAAUCUCAACUUUUAAUAUUUAAAAUUUAAAAUUUAAAAUUUAAAAUUUUAAAUUUUGAAAUUAAAUUUUAAAUUUUAAAUUUUGAAUUUUAAAUUUUAAAUUUUAAAUCUUAAAUUUAAAUUUUAGAUUUUUAAUUUAAAAUUCAAAAUUUAAAUUCAGAUUGAAAAAUUAAAAAUUUAAAUUUAAAUUUUAAAUUCAAAUUUAAAAUUUAAAAUUUUAAAAUUUUAAAAUUAUUUUUUGUACAAAUUUGAAAUUUAAAAAUUAUACUUUUAAUCCAAAUUUAAGUUUUUAAUUUAAAUUCAAAUUUUAAAUUAUUUUAAAAUAAAAUUUAGUAAAAAUAUUAAUAUAUGCAAGCAUCAAAAUUUUUUUGCCAAACAGCUUUAGAAAAUCACUUUUAUCUAAAUUCAGCCAAACGCUUUACAGCUUUCCACCAAAAUCGAUUCUCCAAACCAAAAUCACUUCUGCAGAAAUUACUUUUUCAGAAGUUAGGCCAAACAAGCCCUAGCUAUGUAUUACAUUUUUU
rnacentral:lncRNA from 1 species